rnacentral:rRNA from 1 species
CUGAGACCUGAUGCCGAGCCGAUUGUGGUGAAGUGGAUGAUCCUAUGCUGUCGAGAAAAGCCUCUAGCGAGUUUCAUGGCGGCCCGUACCCUAAACCGACUCAGGUGGUCAGGUAGAGAAUACCGAGGCGUUCGGGUGAACUAUGGUUAAGGAACUCGGCAAAAUGCCCCCGUAACUUCGGGAGAAGGGGGGCCAUCACUGGUGAGAGGACUUGCUCCUUGAGCUGGGGGUGGCCGCAGAGACCAGCGAGAAGCGACUGUUUACUAAAAACACAGGUCCGUGCGAAGCCGUAAGGCGAUGUAUACGGACUGACGCCUGCCCGGUGCUGGAACGUUAAGGGGACCGGUUAGUCACAUUUCGGUGUGGCGAAGCUGAGAACUUAAGCGCCAGUAAACGGCGGUGGUAACUAUAACCAUCCUAAGGUAGCGAAAUUCCUUGUCGGGUAAGUUCCGACCUGCACGAAUGGCGUAACGACUUCUCGACUGUCUCAACCAUAGGCCCGGUGAAAUUGCACUACGAGUAAAGAUGCUCGUUUCGCGCAGCAGGACGGAAAGACCCCGGGACCUUUACUACAGUUUGAUAUUGGUGUUCGGUUCGGCUUGUGUAGGAUAGCUGGGAGACUUUGAAGCGGCCACGCCAGUGGUUGUGGAGUCGUCGUUGAAAUACCAGUCUGGUCGUGCUGGAUGUCUAACCUGGGUCCGUGAUCCGGAUCAGGGACAGUGUCUGAUGGGUAGUUUAACUGGGGCGGUUGCCUCCUAAAGAGUAACGGAGGCGCCCAAAGGUUCCCUCAGCCUGGUUGGUAAUCAGGUGUUGAGUGUAAGUGCACAAGGGAGCUUGACUGUGAGACCGACGGGUCGAGCAGGGACGAAAGUCGGGACUAGUGAUCCGGCGGUGGCUUGUGGAAGCGCCGUCGCUCAACGGAUAAAAGGUACCCCGGGGAUAACAGGCUGAUCUUCCCCAAGAGUCCAUAUCGACGGGAUGGUUUGGCACCUCGAUGUCGGCUCGUCGCAUCCUGGGGCUGGAGUCGGUCCCAAGGGUUGGGCUGUUCGCCCAUUAAAGCGGUACGCGAGCUGGGUUUAGAACGUCGUGAGACAGUUCGGUCCCUAUCCGCUGCGCGCGCAGGAACAUUGAGAAGGGCUGUCCCUAGUACGAGAGGACCGGGACGGACGAACCUCUGGUGUGCCAGUUGUUCUGCCAAGGGCAUGGCUGGUUGGCUACGUUCGGGAGGGAUAACCGCUGAAAGCAUCUAAGCGGGAAGCCUGCUUCGAGAUGAGUGUUCCCACCUCCUUGAGAGGGUAAGGCUCCCAGUAGACGACUGGGUUGAUAGGCCAGAUCUGGAAGCACCGUAAGGUGUGGAGGUGACUGGUACUAAUAGGCCGAGGGCUUGUCCUC